CAAGAACCCGGAGAUGAGCCAAGACACAGAGGACGGGGAGACAAGUUCAUUUCCCGCCGAACAGCGAAUGAGGACAUCACAUGAAGAGCCCGGGGGCCUUCCGUUCUCCUGUGAGGUCACCUCAGUGUCUGUCGCAGUCUGGAAAUGCAACACAUGUCCUAGGGCAGUGGAGGGGGAGAAAAAGUGAAUAGGAGUGAGCCUUCCAACCCCAUAAGACUGGUCUCUAUCAGCCGCACAGCGUUAGUGAUGGAAUCACAAGCACUGAUCGGUCUGGCCAGGGGCUCGACCCUAAAAAUAAACACGCAUAUGCAUUUUAGGUAUUGGUAUAUUUGGGCCUCAGAAAAUUCAUACUCACUGACUGAUGCUGUACCAAAGAUUUAUUCAGAAGAUGAAUUUAAAAUAAACAAAGAGGGUUCACUUACUGGGUUUUGAUUAAAAUCAUUCAUAACAGUUUUGCAGCCUGACA